rnacentral:rRNA from 1 species
GAUCAUGGCUCAGGAUGAACGCUAGCGGCAGGCCUAACACAUGCAAGUCGAGGGGCAUCGGGAUUGAAGCUUGCUUCAAUUGCCGGCGACCGGCGCACGGGUGCGUAACGCGUAUGUAACCUACCUAUAACAGGGGCAUAACACUGAGAAAUUGGUACUAAUUCCCCACUAAUAUUCGUAGAGGCGAUCUCUCCGGGUUCGGAAACUACCGUCGGUUGUAGAUGGACGAUGCGUUGUUAUUAGU